AGUGGCGAACGGGUGAGUAACACGUGAGCAACCUGCCCUUGACUCUGGAAUAACAGUUGGAAACAGCUGCUAAUACUGGAUAUUCAUUGUCCUCCUCCUGGGGGGUGGUGGAAAGCUCCGGCGGUCAGGGAUGGGCUCGCGGCCUAUCAGCUUGUUGGUGAGGUAAUGGCUCACCAAGGCUUCGACGGGUAGCCGGCCUGAGAGGGCGACCGGCCACACUGGGACUGAGAUACGGCCCAGACUCCUACGGGAGGCAGCAGUGGGGAAUAUUGCACAAUGGGCGGAAGCCUGAUGCAGCAACGCCGCGUGCGGGAUGACGGCCUUCGGGUUGUAAACCGCUUUCAGUAGGGACGAAGGGUGACUGACGGUACCUACAGAAGAAGGACCGGCUAACUACGUGCCAGCAGCCGCGGUGAUACGUAGGGUCCGAGCGUUGUCCGGAAUUAUUGGGCGUAAAGGGCUUGUAGGCGGUUCGUCGCGUCAGAAGUGAAAACUCAGGGCUUAACCCUGAGCCUGCUUUUGAUACGGGCGGACUAGAGGGAUGCAGGGGAGAACGGAAUUCCUGGUGGAGCGGUGGAAUGCGCAGAUAUCAGGAGGAACACCGGUGGCGAAGGCGGUUCUCUGGGCAU
rnacentral:rRNA from 1 species